rnacentral:rRNA from 1 species
GUUCUGGUGCCAGCAGCCGCGGUAAUUCCAGCUCCAGUAGCGUAUAUUAAAGUUGCUGCAGUUAAAAAGCUCGUAGUUGAAUUUCUGUUUGUAAGAGUCGAAGCUUUACAGCUAAGAUUUCUUCGAACAUCUGUUUGCAAGCAUACGUUCGGCCUUCACUGGUUGGCUAUGUAAGCAAGCGCUUUACCUUGAGAAAAUUAGAGUGUUCCAGGCAGGCUUCAGCCGGAAUACAUUAGCAUGGAAUAAUGGAAUAGGACUGGGGACUAUUUAUUGGUUUGAGGCUCCAGUAAUGAUUAAUAGGAACAGUCGGGGGCAUUGGUACUUAACAGUCAGAGGUGAAAUUCUUGGAUUUGUUAAAGACUAACUAAUGCGAAAGCAUUUGCCAAGCAUGUUUUCAUUAAUCAAGAACGAAAGUUAGGGGAUCAAAGACGAUUAGAUACCGUCCUAGUCUUAACUGUAAACGAUUCCAUCUUAGAAUUGGGUGAAUAUUUGAUGAUUCAUCCAGCGCUAUAAGAGAAAUCAAAGUCUUUGGGUUCUUGGUGGAGUACGAUCGCAAGAUUGAAACUUAAAGGAAUUGACGGUUUUGCACACCAUGGAGUGGAGCCUGUGGCUUAAUUUGACACAACACUGGGAAACUCAUCAGGACAACAAAGUUUUAGGAUUGACAGAUUGAUAGCUCUUUCUUGAUUGACUUAAUGGUGGUGCAUGGCCGUUCUUAGUUGGUGGAGUGAUUUGUCUGGUUAAUUCCGUUAACGAACGAGACCUUAACCUACUAACUAGUACGACGUGACGAACGUUAGUUACUUCUUAGAGGGACAAUGUGUAUUUUUAACACAAGGAAGUUUAAGGCAACAACAGGUCUGUGAUGCCCUUAGAUGUCCUGAGCCGCACACGCGCUACAAUGACACUUUCAAUAAGUUUUUGCUGGUCCGACAGGAUUUCGGCUAAUCUUUUUAGUAAGUGUCGUGCUAGGGAUAGAUCUUUGCAAUUGUGGAUCUUGAACGAGGAAUUCCUAGUAAGCACAAGUCAUCAGCUUGUGCUGAUUACGUCCCUGCAAAAUGUACACAUCGCCCGUCGCUUGCUCCGAUUGAGUAAUCUGGUGAGCCUUCUUGACUGAGUAAGUAAUUACG